CAGGACGCCACGUCAAGCAGCCAAUCAGAAGGCGAGGCGCCCAUUCAAAUUGCGGCCACGGCGGGAGCCGGCGCUGAGGUAGACUAAAGAAAUAGGAACAAGGAUCUUGUCUUUGAAGUCCAUAGCAUGAAUCACAGAGCCCGGCAUACAAUAGAUCACUCAAAUAAAUAAUUGUUCAGGAGUCACUGGAAGCCUUUUGAGGACAGAGAUUUGUCAGAAGCUGCUUGGAAGUGAUAUCUGAGCUGGAGAUUGUGAUUUAUUCUAACGUAUACCUCGGAGAACUUACUUUUACAGUAGGAGAUUCUCAAUAUUUUUGAAGCACUCUGUUUUUUAAGAGUAGGAAGAAAUAAAUUAUUGCAAGAAAGAGAGUUUCUAUCUGAGAGGGACAGAGGAGGCCCUGGAAAGUGGGUUGCCCGCCAAGCAUGUUUGUAAUCUGCAAUCUGUUUUUGUGUAUGUGUGUGUUCAGCAGAUAUGUUGGGAAACAUGUAUAUGAAAUGGCUGGAAAUCAAAUGAAGAUCCAAAGAAGAGUUUAGGUUCUUAACAUUCUUUUAAGAAGAACUUGCUGCCAAAAUGUCAGCACACACUAUUCAUAAUAGAAGUAACCGUGAUUUCCUGGAAGUUCCUUCUUCCCAAAAGAGUUCAUCACUGAGUACCCUCACCCACAGUAGCCGAUUCAAGUUUCCUUUGAAGUCAGAGAUGUCAGAAUAUGAAAAGGGUGAUUCAUUAUUGAGAUCUGCACGUACAAUCAGAGACUUAAAUAGCACUUAUGUUAUUUCUGCCUGUAAAACAACAGGAGAUAUGCCCCUUACCAUUAACCCUACAGAGAGAUUGACACUUCAGAGAAGAGCUACAAGAAACAAAGAAUCCUCUUUACUUAGUAGUGAGUCUAGAGACACAACUGAAAAGACAGCUGAAGCAAGUCUUACUCUACAGCGUCGUGCUAAAACAGUUUCUGUAGAAAAGUGGAAAACAGCUAAAGCAGAUUCUGUUGCGAAGUGGAAAACACGGCAGGAUGUGGGAAGUGAAACAGAAAGUAAUUGUGCUUCACAGAGAACUAGGACAAAUGUAAAGUUUGUAAAUAACAAUAAAAAUUCUUUUGUUACAUCUUCUACACAGAUAGCUGAAGACUCAAAAGACGCUAUGUUAAUGGUUGAUCAGAAAUAUAAAACAUUUUCUGCCCCCAGUGGGGCAAAUGAAAAUACGCUUAAGCACUCAAGCAGUAGCACACUUGUGGGUUCCCAGGAUCAGAGGGAGGCUGGUGGACCAGGACCACUGGCAGCAAAACCUAUCCAGAGUAACUUGAAUAUCAAAGUGUCUGGAACAGGAAACUUACAUCCUAGUACUGGGAAGGACAUUGCAAAAAAUUCAAGUAAAUUUGGAAGUUUAGACAAAAGAAACCCUGUGAAAUGUAUGACAGAAUACAAAUCGACACCGAAGCAUGACCUGCCUCAGCUCAAGAGCUCAGGUACAUCGAUACUGAAAAAUAGGACGCCUAGCCUUCAAGUUAAACAAAGGCCAAAAAGUUCUCUUCUUUCAAGUAAAAGGGAAAUUUCUCAAAAAAAUACACUCCCUAUUCAAGAAACUGAAGUUCAGAACACCUCUAUAGAAACAGACUUCCUAAAAAUAGAGAAUAGUCAAGUAACUGUGGCAGUACGUGUAAGGCCUUUCAGCAAAAGAGAGAAGAUUGAAAAGGCAUCUCAGGUGGUCUUCAUGAACGGGGAAGAAAUAAUCGUGGAACAUCCUGACAUGAAGCAAGUUUAUAGUUUCAUUUAUGAUGUUUCAUUCUGGUCUUUUGAUCAGUGUCAUCCUCACUACGCUAGCCAGGUGACUGUCUAUGAGACAUUGGCAGCACCACUUCUAGAAAGAGCCUUUGAAGGCUACAACACCUGUCUCUUUGCUUAUGGUCAGACUGGCUCUGGAAAGUCAUACACGAUGAUGGGAUUUAGUGAAGAACCAGGAAUAAUUCCAAGAUUUUGUGAAGAUCUUUUUGCUCAAGUAGCCAAAAAACAAACCCAAGAGGUCAGCUAUCAUUUUGAAAUGAGCUUCUUUGAAGUAUAUAAUGAAAAAAUUCAUGACCUUCUGGUUUGUAAAGGUGAAAAUGGUCAGAGAAAGCAACCACUGAGAGUGAGAGAGCAUCCUGUUUCUGGACCAUUUGUUGAAGCUCUGUCAAUGAAUGUUAUUAGUUCUUACUCCGAUAUCCAGAGCUGGCUAGAACUGGGAAAUAAACAAAGGGCAACUGCUGCGACUGGUAUGAAUGAUAAAAGCUCCCGUUCUCAUUCAGUUUUUACCCUGGUGAUGACCCAGACCAAGACAGAAACCGUGGAAGGGGAAGAACAUGAUCACAGAAUAAUAAGCCGCAUCAAUCUGGUAGACCUGGCAGGCAGUGAGCGCUGUUCUGCAGCCCACACUAGUGAAGAUCGACUAAAGGAAGGUGUGAGCAUUAACAAGUCCUUACUAACUUUGGGAAAAGUUAUAUCUGCACUUUCUGAACAAGCAAACCGAAAGAGAGUUUUUAUUCCUUACCGUGAAUCUGUUCUUACGUGGUUAUUAAAAGAAAGUCUAGGUGGAAAUUCAAAAACUGCAAUGAUUGCUACAAUCAGCCCUGCUGCCAGCAACAUAGAAGAAACAUUAAGCACACUUAGAUAUGCUAACCAAGCUCGUCUGAUAGUCAACAUCGCCAGAGUAAAUGAGGAUAUAAAUGCGAAGUUAAUUAGAGAACUGAAAGCAGAAAUUGAAAAGCUAAAAGCUGCUCAGAGAAACAAUCUGAAUAUUGACCCUGAACGAUAUAGGCUUUGUCGGCAAGAAAUCACAUCCUUACGGAUGAAACUCCAUCAGCAGGAGAGAGACAUGGCAGAAAUGCAAAGAGUAUGGAAAGAAAAGUUUGAACAAGCUGAAAAAAGGAAACGUCAAGAAACAAAGGAGUUACAGAAAGCAGGAAUUACAUUUCAGAUGGACAACCGUUUGCCAAACCUUGUUAAUCUGAAUGAGGAUCCACAACUAUCUGAGAUGCUACUAUAUAUGAUAAAAGAAGGAACAACUACAGUUGGAAAGAAUAAACCAAAUUCAAGCCAUGACAUUCAGUUAUCUGGGGUACUAAUCGCUGAUGAUCACUGUACUGUCAGAAAUUUUGGAGGGACAGUGAGUAUUAUCCCAGUUGCUGAAGCAAAGACAUAUGUGAAUGGGAAACAUAUUUUGGAACCCACAGUGUUGCAUCAUGGUGAUCGGGUGAUUCUUGGUGGAGAUCAUUAUUUUAGAUUUAAUCACCCAGUUGAAGUCCAGAAAGGGAAAAGGCCAUCUAGUAGAGAUACUUUUAUAAGCGAGGGUCCUAAAGACUUUGAAUUUGCCAAAAAUGAGUUACUCAUGGCACAGAGAUCGCAACUUGAGGCAGAAAUAAAAGAGGCACAGUUGAAGGCAAAGGAAGAAAUGAUGCAAGGAAUCCAAAUUGCAAAAGAAAUGGCUCAGCAAGAACUUUCUUCUCAAAAAGCUGCAUAUGAAAGCAAAAUACAAGCACUAGAAGCAGAACUGAGAGAAGAAUCUCAAAGGAAGAAAAUGCAGGAAAUAAGUAACCAAAAGGCUAGUCACAAAAUUGAGGAAUUAGAAAAGACAAAGCUGCAUCUUGAACAGGAAGUGUAUGUCAAUAAAAAGCGAUUAGAAAUGGAAACUUUGGCUACAAAGCAGGCUUUAGAAGACCACAGCAUCCGUCAUGCAAAAAUUCUGGAAGCUUUAGAAACUGAAAAGCAAAAAAUUGCUAAAGAAGUACAACUUUUACAGCAGAGUCGGAAUAAUAGGGGUAAAACUUUUACAAUUCAGCCAAGUUGGAGCUCCAUGAAAGUCUCAAUGAUGAUUCAGGAAGCCAAUACCAUCAGCAGCAAGUUAAAAAAAUACUAUGUUUUUGGCAGGCAUGAUGCAUCAGUUAAAGGUAGUUCUGAGACAUCUAUUCGAGUUCGUAACCUGCAGCUUGGGGUCUCAACUUUCUGGAGUCUUGAAAAGUUUGAAUCUAAACUGGCAGCAAUGAAAGAACUUUAUGAGAGUAAUGGUACUAACAGAGGUGAAGAUGUUUUCUGUGACCCUGAAGAUGAAUGGGAACCUGACAUUACAAAUGCACCAGUUUCUUCAUUUUCCAGAAGGAGGAGCAGGAGUUUGAUGAAAAAUAGAAGAAUUUCUGAUUGUUUACAUGAUAUACAAGUCCACCCAAUGCAGAAUCUGUGUUCUUCACGUUCAUCAGGUUUAAUGGAGAAACCAAGCACCAUUUACUCAACUUCAGCAGAAUCAUUUCUUCCUGGAAUAUGCAAAGAAUUGAUUGGUUCAUCAAUGAAUUUUCUUGGACAUAGUUUUGAUGAAGAAAAAACUAUAGCAGAUAGUCUGAUAAAUAAUCUUUUAAAAAUUUAUAAUGGGCUACUUGUCAUCUCCAAAGCUCAUGAAGAACAAGACGAAGAAAGUCAAGACAACUUGUUCUCUUCAGAUCGAGCAGUGCAGUCAUGUACUGUCCAGAUUGCUUGCUCUUUUGAGCAGCUUGUGGUUUUAAUCAGACACUGGCUGAACGAUUUCCUACCUUGUACCUGCAUAGCAAAACUGGAAGAUGAAUUGAGACAGGAAAUGAAAAAACUGGGAGGCUACUUACAGUUAUUUUUGCAGGGAUGCUGUUCAGAUAUUUCAUCAAUGGUAAAAGAAGCUGAAAAGAAAGUGAUCCAGAUCAUACAACGAGCUGUUAAGUAUGUGGGAAAGUUAGCAGUUCUAAAAGGGAACAAGCUGUAUUUUCUGGAAGGCAGUCACAAUAAGGCUGCCAAUGUCCAGGAGGAAUUCAUCGAUGCUAUUUGUGAUGGUGUAGGCUCAGGAAUGAAGAUUCUGUUAGAUUCUAGUCUGGAAAAAGCAAAAGAACUUGAAUAUGACCUCUUACGGGAAUGUGCACAAAAUGAGGUUACCAAACAGAUGAAAGCAAAUGCCAUAGAACUGGUCAGAUCUCUUGAAAAUAUCUUUUCUGAAUGGAAAACAAAAAGCUUCAGAACUCAAGUACAAGAAGAUGAUUCUGGAUACCAGGAUUCCAAGAAGAUAACUGACCUUGCCCUGAAAUUGUUGAAGUUAAAGCACUGCUUAGAGAAAGCCAUUCAAAUUAGUAUUUCUACACUGAGAGGAUGCUGCAGCGAUGUGCAUCUCCUCAAGAAUUGUGUCGAGACAAUUUGCAGCUUGGUCAGCGAUAUUUGCAAUGACUUCAGUGAGCUCUCUACUUCUGUUGACCACUGUGAAAAUAAAAUAUCUCAAGUUGACCACAGGGAACUAGAAUCUCUAGCUAAGUCACUCCUCUUAUGUUUUGAAUCUGAAGAAAGACCUGAUUUAUUGAAACCCUGGGAAUCUUGUAAUCAAGAUACUGGAGGAGGAGAAGAAAAAGAAGAAUCUAACUCAGGCCAGACUGGGUGCAGUAGGAAUAAAAGUGUACCGAAGCGUGUCUAUGAACUGCAUGAGGCGUGCCCAGCAGCGAGCUCGGAGAAAGAAAAAUAAUACCACUUCAUGGACUAUGUCUAUGAGCGCUAUAUGAGAAAAGUGUGGGAAUAACUCCUGCUAUCCUUCCAAACCAUGACCUACUCAGUGUCUUCUGGAUGGACAUUGUGUGACCUGACCCCUAACUUCUGGUUGACACAAGAAAAAGCAUCUUUCCUCCUCUCCACUUCAUUUAAUUCUACCCAUCACUCAGAUUCUGCUUCUUUGUGAAAACUUUCAGUCAAUUGAAUGCCUGUUGUGUGACAGGAAGGGCAACAAGAUACUGGAUAUGUAAUGGCAAAGGAGAUAGCCCAACAUCUUCUCCCACAGAGCUUGCAUUCUAGGUGGAAGACAGGCAAGUCAGCAGCAAUGACAAUGUGGCAUGACCAAGGCUCUGACAGAGGAAGCAUGUGACCCAGUUUGAUAUUUAAGGUCCGAUUCAGAAAAUGAGGGGGAGCUUAGCGAGGUGAGGAGGUAGGACACUGAACAUCUCAGUAGAGAGAACAACACAUGCAAAGGUCCAGAAAAAAAGACAGCCUGGUGCCAGGCCAGUGGAAGUGGAAUUGAUGGAAAAACAGGUGAGUAUAGAGAUUGGUAUAUUAGGCAGCUUUCUGCCACUGUGACAAGAUUCCUGAGACAAACACAUUAUAUGGAGGAAAGGUUUAGUUGUCUCAUAGUUUCAGUUCAUGUUCCCUUGGCCUUGUUGCUUUAGGCCUGUGAUGGUACAGUAUAUCACAGCAGAAGCACAUGGUCUGUCUACCUCAUGGCAUCUGGGAAGCAAAGAGAGAGAGGCAAGUGACAGUUUCAGUAUCCCUUGCAGUGGCACCUUCUAAUGACUCAACUUCUCACCACUAGGCCCCGCCUCAUAAAGGUUCCACCGCAUUCUAAUUGUGCCAUCGCCUGUGGAUCAAACCUUUAAUGCAUGGGCCUUUGAGGAAAUCCAAACUAUAGUACUGAAGCAGGAGAUGUUAGUUGUGUAAUGGAGUUUGGUCAUUGAAGGGUUUUAAGCCAGGAUGUGAUUUUGAAUUUGAGUUCUGGAAAGAACCUGUUGUCAGGAGCAUAUAGGUUAGACUGGAGAUGGGGGAGGCUGCUUGGGAGGUGAUCUCUGGAAGCCUGGAUUAGGGAUAUGGUAACAUAUAUGGAGAUAAGUAUAUAGAUUCUAGAACUAUUUAGAAGAGAGACAAAAUAUUUUGACUUGGUGAAGGAAGAAUUGAGAUGAAUGAAGGGAAAAAAUUGAUGCUCAGGUAUUUGGCUUAAGCAACCAGGUAGAUGGUAGUACAGUUUACGGAGACAGGAAGUACCAGAGAAAGAGUAUAGUGAGGGAAUUGUUUUGCUAGGGCUGCCGUAACAGGUACUAAAAAGUAGGGGGCUUAACCAAUAAAAAUUUUUUUCUAGCAAUUCUGGAAGCUAGAUGUUCCAGGGCUAGCUCCUUCUGAGAGUUACAAGGUUUUGCGUGUGUCUCUUUGGCUUGUGAAUGAUCACCUCCCCUCUUUGCCUGUUUCUUCAUUUUCCCUUGGUGUCCUUCUAGAAAUAAUCUCAUUUAAAUUGAUUACUUCUGAAAAGACAAAGUCACAUUCAGAGGUACUAGGGGUUAAGACUUCAUAUAAAUUGGGAGGGACACAGUUCAACCCGUAGCAGGAGAUAUAAUAGGUCUGGUGAUUUGAGGGAACUUGGCACAUUUAGGUUUUAUGUCCAGUAAGAACUAAGAAUCUGAGUCUGAAGUGUGAGAAGAUGCUACUUAUUAAGUUUUUGUAUUUUCACAUUGUGAUGGAUCUUUCCCUUUGUCACACAGGCCUUGUUGCUCUAAUAAAUACA